GACAGAGGGUGCAAACGUUGCUCGGAAUUACUGGGCGUAAAGCGCGUGUAGGCGGGCUGAUAAGUCGGACGUGAAAGCCCUGGGCUCAACCCAGGAACUGCAUCCGAAACUGUCAGUCUGGAGUGGUGGAGAGGGAAGCAGAAUUCCUGGUGUAGAGGUGAAAUUCGUAGAUAUCAGGAGGAACACCGGUGGCGAAGGCGGCUUCCUGGACACUAACUGACGCUGAGACGCGAAAAGCGUGGGGAGCAAACAGGAUU
rnacentral:rRNA from 1 species